rnacentral:rRNA from 1 species
CAGUCGCCGCGGGAAUACGAAGGGUGCAAGCGUUACUUGGAAUUACUGGGCGUAAAGCGUGCGUAGGUGGUGGUUUAAGUCCGUUGUGAAAGCCCUGGGCUCAACCUGGGAAUUGCAGUGGAUACUGGGUCACUAGAGUGUGGUAGAGGAUAGUGGAAUUUCCGGUGUAGCAGUGAAAUGCGUAGAGAUCGGAAGGAACAUCUGUGGCGAAGGCGACUAUCUGGGCCAACACUGACACUGAGGCACGAAAGCGUGGGGAGCAAACAGGAUUAGAUACCCCAGUAGUCCCUGUCUCUUAUAC